ACCCUGAUGGCGUCAUGAUCGCUGCUUAUUGCCUUUCAAAUAGGUUUUCAGCAUUCUGCUUACACCUUUGGCAUAGAGUCACAUAUUUCACAAUCCAACAUCAAUUGGUACCAACAGCAGCCCUUCUCUCCAUCAUCCAGAAGGAUCUGAGAUCAGUGUUGGAGAUGAUGGUUUGGAACAACCCAUGGAAAGCUUAUCACUCAUUGAUGCUAUGAUGCCUGAUGUUGUUGCAAGUCGUCAACAGCAAACGCAGAACAAUCAGAAACCACAAGUGGUAAAGACAGAACCACCAAAUUCCAAUGGAGAUGAACCCAUGCAUCGUAAGGCUGGGAAGAGGAAACAGGAGUAGAGAUACCUGCCAGCAAAUCAACUGUACUUCGUGGCCAUGAAUCUGAAGUUUUCAUCUGCGCCUGAACCCAACAACUGAUUUAUUGGCUUCUGGCUCUGGUGAUAG